UGGGGAAUUGUUCGCAAUGGGCGAAAGCCUGACGACGCAACGCCGCGUGGAGGACGAAGAUCUUCGGGUCGUAAACUCCUGUCGAGCGGGAAGAACGCUUCCCGGGUAAAUAUCCCGGGGACUUGACGGUACCGCUAAAGGACGCCCCGGCUAACUCCGUGCCCGCAGCCGCGGUAAUACGUAGGGUGCAAGCGUUAAUCGGAAUUACUGGGCGUAAAGCGUGCGCAGGCGGUGAUGUAAGACAGGUGUGAAAUCCCCGGGCUUAACCUGGGAACUGCAUUUGUGACUGCAUCGCUGGAGUGCGGCAGAGGGGGAUGGAAUUCCGCGUGUAGCAGUGAAAUGCGUAGAUAUGCGGAGGAACACCGAUGGCGAAGGCAAUCCCCUGGGCCUGCACUGACGCUCAUGCACGAAAGCGUGGGGAGCAAAC
rnacentral:rRNA from 1 species